GAUCUCUUAAAGCUGUUCUCAGUUCGGACUGCAGUCUGCAACUCGACUGCACGAAGCUGGAAUCGCUAGUAAUCGCGGAUCAGCACGCCGCGGUGAAUACGUUCCCGGGCCUUGUACACACCGCCCGUCACACCAUGGAAGUCUGCAAUGCCCGAAGCCGGUGGCCUAACCACUUAUGUGGAAGGAGCCGUCUAAGGCAGGGCAGAUGACUGGGGUGAAGUCGUAACAAGGUAGC
rnacentral:rRNA from 1 species